GAGAAGCGGAAAACAUGCACCUGUUAGCCAGGGCGGCGGGGCCGCGCUGCCCCCGCGCCCCUCCCGCGGCUCCCCCUUACUCGAUGAAGAAGACGCGCCCGUCCCUGCAGACGCCGUAGGACCAGUGCUCAGGAGCAGGUGCCAGGAAAGCGCAGGAGCCAGACAGUCACAGGCAGCUCCCCAGCUUCUUUCCUGAGCUCCAGUACCUACAUCCAGGGCUUGCCUGCAGAGCCUGAGGGCUCAGAAAGCUCUUGCUCAAGGUCUUGUUUCCAUCUCCAACUCCUAAUGGAUCUUUUCAGUGAAGCUGUCCAGACUAGAACCCACAUAACUUCUAUCACCCAGCAGCAGCAGUGUUCCUAAUGCUCACCUUACCUGAGCUGUGUAUGAAGAAUCACCUUCUUUUGCUUGUGGUGAACCCAGAUCCCAUUUCAUUUAUUUUCUUCAGUUCUUGCAAUGAAAGAGACUGGGGUCACCAGUGCAACCUCCUGCAGUGUCUGCAUUGAUCUUAGACCAGGUGGCCCAAGCCUUUGUCCAGAGAAUUCAAUACAAUUGAAUUUGAUGAUCUUAGAGGGCAAAAGCUGCUGCUAUUUCAGGAAGCUUAAAUGAGGUACAAUGCAUAGAAAAGCCUGCUAGUUAUGACUUUUUCAUCCUGACCUGUAUAUUUUAUAAAGCAUAAGCACGACUUUUAAAAGGUGCGAGGCCAGACAGAGGCAGAGCAUUUGCAGAGUAAUGAAUCUGAAUUAUUAAAUCCUGGUUAAGAAAGCUUAUAAGCCAUAAUGCAAACCUUGUAUUACGCCCUUUAGCUGCAAAACAUGUAUUAUGCCUUUUAGCAUGAUUUUCCAGCUCUGCUUGGAACAGCUGAGAAUUAAAAUCAUGAAAGGUUUCAUGGUGAGACGGAUUAAUUUGCAAGACAAUUUCAGAGCAGUUCAUUGUCUGAUUAUACUGAAAUAUAGGUUGUGCAACCACUUUGUUCUUCAGCAUUGUGCAGUGUGAUUCCCUUUUAGCAGUGGUAAGUGCUUAAGACACCAGAAAUUAAUACAUUGAUUCUUAGAGGUAGAAGAAUGUAUUAAUCAGACAAUAGGGGAUAUAGGGAAGAGAUCUUGGAGACUUGAGGCAAAUCCACAUUCCUGGAAAAUUUCCAAUGCCGUUACUCUAAAACUGCAACACUUUUUCAGAUCAUGGAAGAACUACACUAAGGAAUCACUGUGGUAUAGUUGUUCAAAUUAGAAAACAACUUCAGCUGUUGGAUUCUCAGACAGCAUGGGGAAAAGCCAUCUCAGGGGAACAGUACCAACAGAACUCAUCAAUUUGAAAAAGAAAAUGGCCACACAUAGCUAGAGCCAGUGUCAGGCUGUAGGAUGAAGAAGCACUUAAUGAAAUAGAUUGAGAAGACUUUUUUUCCAGUCUGAAGUCUUAAGAUAGUUUAAAAUAUUAAGGGGACAAAUUAAUCCAAGACCAAACAUUACCUUAGUGGGUAGGGAAAGCAAACAAGAUAACAAAAAGAUUACUAAUGUAUUAUUUUGAAACUAAAAUAUAGUUGAUGAGAUUUAAUACAUACCAAUGAAUUUUAUUCCUUGUUCAUCCAUGUCAGAGUGAGUAGAAAACAGCUUGUUUUAUGCCAAGAUAAAUUUGAAGAUAUAGACAUAGAAAUUUUCUCAGAUGUAAUGAGCAGUAAAGCAGCCUGAGAAGGAAUAUCAUGGUAUUUCCCUUAUCACCAAUUUCUAAAGGCUGGCUAAUGACAAAAUUUCAGUCAGGGAAAUUCUAAGUAUACUUAUUUUGUCUCAGGUCAGGAGCUAUGAAAAGAUCUCACAGGAUCCAUUUUAGUCUAUAUUUCUAUGAAAAGAUGCUAGUUUAAAAUGUUAUGAUUUUUAGAAAUAAAUGGACAUCAAAAAUUGUCAUCAGCUGAUAGGUACUAAAGAGCACCUUUAUUGAGUGGUUAUCUAGUUGACAGGAAGAAUUCAGGGCAACCUCUUGAAUUUAAAGAGUUCUGUUAUUUAGAAGGAGAGGAAGGACAAUCCCUGAUACAGUUAGGAAAGAUAAGCAACUUGCACAAUGGUACUACUGAUGACAUGACUAAAUAUAGAGCACAUACUUGCUCCUGAUCUGGAGUGUUUUCUGUUGAGCCACACAACCUACAGAAGUCAGGAGAGCUAGACAGAAGGAAGGGCUGCAAGAGGCAAAGUACAAAAAUUUGGCACACCAUCUGCAAGACAUCACCCAUUUCCAGCCUAAGCACUUUCCAGGACAGAAUUAAUAUAUAUAUUAGUACAAUGCCAAAUAAAUCUUGAGCAGAACAGAAAAGGUAUUGUCACCAAUAGAUUGUGUUUUACCUUUUUAUAAGUGUUGACAUUAAAUGAAACCUCUUUUACACUUUAUAUACAGGGCAGUUUGUGCUGUGGGGAAAGUGAUGGCAAAUUUUAGACAAAGUGAGAUUUUUGGAGCCUAUUUUUCUUGCAAUAGACUGAGAAGUUUCCCUAAAUUUCCACGGGACUUGUGUCAGGCAACAGAAUUCUAAGAGCACCAAAAGAUAAAUAUAGCUGGUAAAAUGAGAAAGAUUAAAUAAUGGUAAAUCUAUUGUUGAAGGAACUCCAAAUACGGAAAAAGGAAUUAUUCAUUUUCCUGGCCACUGGAAAGAAUAUAAACAAGUUCAAAUUGUAUCCACAGUUCCUUUGAGGAAGAUAUGGAGCAUGACAUUGUACAAGAAUAGUUUGGAGGCUCACUGUCUCCCUGUGCAGCAGGAUCUGACUGGAGACUGCACACAGGCACCAGCCCAGACCGUGACACUGCUGAGCAAGACAGAUGGGAAAAUGACAUUGAGAAGGCAACGCUGGUGCUGCAUAACAAAUCCAAACUUCUCUUUCCAAAACAUGCUGAACUCUGCUACGAGUGAAAAAAAAGGUCAUUAUCUUUAGCUAAAAGGUUUUCUUUUCCAAACCAUUGUCAGUUUUCAAAAGUGUGUUCUCGCUGAAAGUAUCCUUUGUGAAAUCCAGAAGAUAUCUUCAAAAUAAUUCUGUUUUCCUUACAAAUGUCCUUCGUGUUUAAAGACAUCCUACUGAUUUACCUUCUAGAUGCAAACAUCUGAGUACAUCUAAUUACCUCUCUCUCACCUGAAUAUCUAUUUGCCCAAAUGAAUUAUAUUCAUAGAAUCGAGUUAUGUAUGUCCCCUGAAAUGCACAAAAAUGCACACAAAAGCAAAAAUGAAUGAAUACAUUCCCUAAUUACUGUCAAUUUACAAUUUCCUGUCACAUAAGCUUUAUGAUUACUAUAUUUAACAUAGUCCCAUCUCCUCUUCAUUUUCUCUCUUUUGCAUUUCACAAAGUCUCAAUAAUUUACAUACCCAGCACCUAGAAUGCACACACUAGGACUUUGAUUUUGUAAUCAAAAAUAAAGCUAAAUAACAAAUACUCAUAAUUUUGUCAUGACAAGUCUUAUCAUUCUAUACAGUAGUGGCAAUAGUUAAAUGUCUGCACAGUGCUCAAGUUAUCUGUAGAAGGGAGAAAUACAAAAGAACAAUUAUGUGCCAAAGUCAUGGGAUCAUUUCCAGAAAUUUAACUUACAUUUUGUAAUGAACACUUGAGGGUAUUUUUAUUUUUUUUUUUUUUUCUUGGCAAAGGACACUGUAAGCCUGGCAGCACUGAGAAACCCUCAGUUCUUCAAUACUGAUGUACCUGUGACUAUCAACAUUUGGUUUGUUAUAAAGCAGACACUCAAAGUCAAUUCCAUAUUUAUGAACACAAACAGACUCCCUGUCAUCCCAUGACAUCUGUGUAUGAAGAGAUCCUUUUUUAAGAAAAGGGACAAAAAAGCAAAGACAAACAUCACAGAUCCUUAAGACUAAAAUCUUCCAAAUUUUAAAUCAAACUGUUCCAUUCUGUGAUGUUUCCUUAGGAAUUAUGCUUUUGAUUUCUUUCCCCAGUAUGAGAUACCUCACUCUAGUCCCAUCAAAGCAUUUUUCCCCAGUUUGGAAUCUACCAUUCCAUGACUGGUAUUACUCUUUUUCCAGUCCUUUUGGCAACUGCCAUUUUUUGCAACUACACAUCAUAGUUAGGGCAAGCAGAGUGUCACAUAUUCCCAACAAUUGUCACAAGGACAUUUUUUCCCAAAGAAAUUUAAGACCUCUGAAUUCACUUUCCAGGCUCCUCCCCAAGGUUGCUCUCCAUCUGCUUUGGAAGACCCAACACUUCACCCUGGAGUGCCCACAGUAGUAAUAGAAACUAACCUGUUCAACAGGAUGUUUUCAAAUUUGAGUAUAUCAAAGAUAAAACAGAUUUUCACCUCAUUUUUUCUUAAUACACCCACAAAUAUCUUGCUGCUACUCUGUAGAUCACUCACCACACCUCUGUGCAUGCUAACAGCAAUCCCCACACAAGGCUCCAGACAAGAUUCCAUUUUAGCAUCUUCUGCCCUGCCUCUCCAGAGAUGGUACUUUCUCAGCACGCUUGGAACUUGCAAGGUCUCAGUCCUCUUCCUGAAUAAGCUUUUGCCAGGCAGAACAAUUUCUUCCCAUUGUGGUUUCCCAAAUCCUUUUUCAAAGAUCCCUUUGCAAAAGAAUCUAAGAUAUUGAUUAUCUGCUUGGCUCCAGAAGGAGGUAGCUGAGGGUUAAUCAUUCUCCCUCAUUUUUCUGGCAACAUGGAGUGUACAUACCUCAUCACAGCUUUCCAAUAUCCCACUUCUCUCCAGUUUCUUCCUGCUUUUUGUUACAAUCCCAGCAGAUGUGCCUUCUUGACAAUCCUCCAGAUCUGUUUUUGUCUCUUCCUAUGCUUGGGCUCAGGUCCUUCCAUGGUUUUCAUUCCAUGGUCUCCUGCUACACACCUGAACCCCUUCAGCACUUUUUGCUUCAAUGAUUUGCAAGAGCAAUCAGUUUCCAAAGGCAAUGUGAUAAACCAUCUAUAUGUAAGCAUGACACAACCAGUAGCUAUAGUAACAGGAAGGCUUUAAACAAAACUGGAAAAAAAAAUCUGAGGGAUAUCUCUCAACUGUUCCUCCAUCCCCAAAUAUUGCACAGUUCCAUAAAUGUCCUCCUGUGUUCCUUUGCCUGAUUGUAU